rnacentral:rRNA from 1 species
UAAGGAAUAUUGGACAAUGGUCGCAAGACUGAUCCAGCCAUGCCGCGUGCAGGAUGACUGCCCUAUGGGUUGUAAACUGCUUUUGUACGGGAAUAAACCCUUCUACGUGUAGAAGGCUGAAUGUACCGUAAGAAUAAGGAUCGGCUAACUUCGUGCCAGCAGCCGCGGUAAGACGAAGGAUCCAAGCGUUAUCCGGAUUUAUUGGGUUUAAAGGGUGCGUAGGCGGAUUGAUAAGUCAGUGGUGAAAGCCUGUUGCUUAACAACAGAACUGCCAUUGAUACUGUCAAUCUUGAAUAUGUUUGAUGUGGGCGGAAUAUGACAUGUAGCGGUGAAAUGCUUAGAUAUGUCAUAGAACACCGAUUGCGAAGGCAGCUCACAAAGCCAUUAUUGACGCUGAGGCACGAAAGCGUGGGGAUCAAACAG